rnacentral:rRNA from 1 species
AAGCUCGUAGUUGAAUUUCGGGGUUAGUAGGUUGGUCAUGCCUCUGGUAUGUACUGGUCUCACUGAUUCCUCCUUCCUUAUGAACCGUAAUGCCAUUAAUUUGGUGUUGCGGGGGAAUUUGGACUGUUACUUUGAAAAAAUUAGAGUGUUUAAAGCAAGCUAACGCUUGAAUACAUUAGCAUGGAAUAGUGAAAUAGGACGUUCGAUCUUAUUUUGUUGGUUUCUUAGGAUUGACGUAAUGAUUAAUAGGGAUAGUUGGG